rnacentral:lncRNA from 1 species
UUUCCUCACACUCCUGCUUUGUUGCUGCCAUGAGGGGUACAUCUCCUCUCCACCACAACCUUUCCCCAUGACAUGCUUCCUCACUUGGGCCCAAAACACUGGAAUUUUCAUCUGUGGACUGAGAACUCUGAAGCCAUGAGCCACAAAUAAAUCUUUCCUUCUCUGAGUUGAUUUUGGGUAUUUGGGUCACAGCAAAGAAAAGACAACUAAAAUAAAAAUUGGUACCAAGAGUGGGAUCAUUGCUAUGAUUAACCUGACCAUGUGGUUCAGAAGACUUUGGAGCUAGGAAGCCUGGAGAUACAAGUGGAAAAGCUUUAGAAUUUUGUAAGUGGAGCUUAAUGGGAAAUUCUGGUAGGAGUUCAGAGACCAGAAUGCAGACAGUUAAAGACCAAGCUCAUGAGAUUUCAGAAAUAAAUGACUCAGUUGGAAAUUGGACUAUUGACCAUUAAUGUUACAGUCUGGAAAAAAAAGAAACAUCAUUGACAUUUUGCCCAUGUCUUGAGACUGAGGCUGAAUUCAGAAGUGAUAGACUAAUUAAUCUAGCAGAGGAAAUUUCAAGGUAGCACAACAUUCAGUCAGUGGCAUGUAUAUUUCUGGCAGCUUUUAGCUAGGUUUACCAUGAGAGUCAGGAGUAGAAAACAGAACUAAAGCAUUUUACAGAGUUGCAGUUUGGUCAGAAAAGUGCAUGUAUAGCUGGGGCCAAGAAGUCUUACUGAAGAGAUUUCAGUCCCUAAAGAGAGGGUAAGUACUUUGAACAGAGACCGUAGGAAAGAUGACUCUAGGGCAUCUCAGGAAUUUUCAAGACCACACCCAUUGCAGACUCCAGUAUGUAAAAGGAAAAACUUUGAGAAAAGCUCAUGGGCUUUCCUUGGUUGCACAGUGGGGCCUAUAAACUUGUUUCACAAUACUCAGGCACUCAGAGGAAACUGCAGCUGUGAUCCCAGGGAGCUCAGCUACUGCAUGAACAGGCAGCAGACCUAGGCAUCAUUCACAUGAUCCCACUUCUACAUGAAUGCAGCAUUCUCUAGUUAAGGGGUCAUGCUGGCUUCCACCAAGAGUUCAAAGAAAGUCCUGAGAAACCUUAUGUGCUGCCUCUGAGAUGGUGAUGAAUGAAAUGCUGAAGGUGAUACUGAAGCUGAAGCUGGGGGAGACUGGAAGAAUUAAAAGAUGCCAAUAAUAUGGACUGUCUACUAAGUAAAGCUGCUGGUCACAGAGGAAGCCAGACUAAAAGGCCAUAUGUACUACAACUGACAAUUUCGAAAGGACAGUGUUGCCUAAGCUCUUUGGAGACAUCCACAUAUCUAAGUGUCAUAGGUGCUGUACAAGUAGUUACAGGACCUAUUUUCCCA